rnacentral:rRNA from 1 species
GAUGAACGCUGGCGGCGUGCCUAAUACAUGCAAGUCGAGCGAACGGACGAGAAGCUUGCUUCUCUGAUGUUAGCGGCGGACGGGUGAGUAACACGUGGAUAACCUACCUAUAAGACUGGGAUAACUUCGGGAAACCGGAGCUAAUACCGGAUAAUAUUUUGAACCGCAUGGUUCAAAAGUGAAAGACGGUCUUGCUGUCACUUAUAGAUGGAUCCGCGCUGCAUUAGCUAGUUGGUAAGGUAACGGCUUACCAAGGCAACGAUGCAUAGCCGACCUGAGAGGGUGAUCGGCCACACUGGAACUGAGACACGGUCCAGACUCCUACGGGAGGCAGCAGUAGGGAAUCUUCCGCAACGGGCGAAAGCCUGACGGAGCAACGCCGCGUGAGUGAUGAAGGUCUUCGGAUCGUAAAACUCUGUUAUUAGGGAAGAACAUAUGUGUAAGUAACUGUGCACAUCUUGACGGUACCUAAUCAGAAAUCCACGGCUAACUACGUG